rnacentral:ncRNA from 1 species
UAACAAACGUAGAGAAGGAAUAGUAAAAUAGUCAAUUUCUUUCCAGAGAAGAUGCCGUUUGGUGAGAGGCAUCUAAGAAACAUUAUUUGAACCUGCCUUUGAGUUCUAUGCAAAAAAAGCAUAGCGGUUAAAUACCGUUAACAUGUGAGAGUGUAAAGCGUUGCUUUAAAUUUAGGGUGGUACCACCGUUUUUGGUCCCUAUA